UACGGGGGGGGCAAGCGUUGUUCGGAAUUACUGGGCGUAAAGCGCGCGCAGGCGGCUUUUUAAGUCCGUUGGUGAAAUGCCGGGGCUCAACCCCGUGCCCGCCAGGGAUACUGGAGAGCUGGAGACGAGUAGAGGCAAGCGGAAUUCCGGGUGUAGCGGUGGGAAUGACGUAGAGAUCCGGAAGAACACCGGAGGCGAAGGCGGCUUGCUGGGCUCGGUCUGACGCUGAGGCGCGAAAGCGUGGGGAGCGAACAGG
rnacentral:rRNA from 1 species